rnacentral:rRNA from 1 species
GACCCAAGACGGAAGACGCAUAAACCACUGAUCCCGCUUGCCAGGCACAUUUCGGGUCAGGCAGAGGCAGGGUCAGAUCCGGGUAGGUAAUCACUAGUUAAACAAGAUUUUUGUCAUUAACGAAAGAAAAUUAUUAGAGUUUUACUUAAUUGGCAUAAGUAGGGGUGGAAAUUCGAAGGGUUACCGCCUUGGGAUUCGAUUAAGGUGCGGAGGGUGGAGCGGGUCGCGCGUACCUGGUCGGCCGCAGCCUGCGGCCGCGGACGGAGCUCCAGGCGGAGAAGAUGCACGCGGAUAGCGGGGCGUCGAGGCCUCGACGGCGGGGCGGUGCCGAGAGCGACCGGUAGGUGGUGCGGCCCUGGCUCCGGAGGGGGAGGAGCGAGGGAGAGGCGGAGCUGGCGACGCUGGGUCAGAGACCGCUCCGGUGGAUGCAGAGAUGGCGCCGGCGCGCGGAGGGGGGCGGGCUGCGGAGGAAGCUCCAACGUCUGGUGGCGCUGCGGCGGGAGGAGGCUCCGUGGGAAGCUUCCACGGGACUGCGGUUCCGGCUAAGGGGACAGACCCGCUAGCUGACGCAGGGGCGGCUACGUCGCCGCCGGAGUCGGAGCCGGAAACUCCAGAUACAACGGCCCAUGACGCGUCCACUCGGGCGGCAAGAAUGCGCUCGGGACGCCGACCGGUGGGGCCUUCUCCGACGACCGCCUAACCAAGCGGCCGCUAGUCGUGGAAACCGCCGAUACACACUACUUCUGCUCUCACUGUACUUGUACCCUUGGUCCCGUAUGGGACUUCCUACCAUGAGACUACUGCUGCUGCCCGUUGAGUGUACCAAGUUGCGACCACAAUCCCAACCGCAGCCCUAACCCGACCCUCAGACACAACCUCAACCAUAUCCGCAACCCGAGGAGUACUCGAGGAUGGUUCGUUGCCGGUCCUUGGACUUCUCCGCCAAGAAGACUGUGACAGCGAUGUUUCCCGAGCCUGCCGGUCAUUCAUCUCUACCGGGUAGGCUACUACAAGGCGCGACUUGGUUGGCGGCAUACAUAUCAACCACCUAAACAACAAGCAACGUAACAACGACCAGCAGACCUCAAAAACUGAACACAUCGAGAGUAUAGACACAUACAUUAGACACUUCCACAGGGACUUGAACACCUUCACCGUUUUUACCUGAACCGUACCUCGUCUGCGUGACACCGGAAUAAAACAUUCGAAGUCUUAACACGAUGUUCAGUUAUUACACAUAUGUUCACGCUGUCGGAAAGCGAUACUCGCUUACAACAGCCUACAUACAAAGCAGUCACAAAUCUUCGUG